CUCCUUGUCGCGGACGGGUGUGAUCUCGCAGAGUGGUUCAGAUUCGGGCUUGGGCUUGGGCUUCGGCCGGAGAUCGGCGGGCGAGUUGUUCUUCGGCUGGAGUGGUGUCCGGCCUGAUCGCGGCCGAGGUUUCGGAGCGAAGAAAUGGAAAGUAGAAUGGAGAAAAGGUGUUGGUGGUGAUGGAAAGUUGAGUGAAGAGUAGAGUGUAUUUUAUUUUGAAUUUCAAUGGAGGGAGGCGCUAACGGCUAGUGCUUCUGUUUGUUCUUAUUGGUAUAUUGACUAUUUUCUAUGCUUUAUUAAAAAAAAAAAAAGUUCUACAUUGGAUGUUCGGAUCAAUUUUUUUCCCCUUGCUUUCUUGAAAAGAAAAAAGAGGAUUCAUAAUUUCUUAUACAAUUUUGAUUAGGCUUGAACUAGAUUUAAUUUGUUGUU